AGGAAAGCAAACCUUUUCACUCUCAUCGGGUUUCCCAGUUCUGAUGAAACUAAUUCCUCUAUUGAACUAAAAAGAGUAAAUGAAAACAAAGAAAGCAGAAUUCCUGCCACAGCAGAAGAGGGCCCAGCUGUCACUGACUAUUUCCAGGUGUUUAGCCAUUUUCUUCCACCAGUCUUUCAUCUGUGAACUAGGAAGAUGAAGGUCUUGUACACCUGAAGGCUUCUUUCCUUCGAACACACUUGGUGAACCUACUAACACUACAUGGGGGAAGAUGUUCACUCAGACAAAAAAAAAAGUACAAGCAAAGACCAGAGGAUCCCAGGAAAUACAGAGUAGAAAACAAGGAUAUACAGGAGUUAUACCAUGAAGAACGCUGGUCUGAGGAAGGCAAGCAACCUGUGCACCACACCCAGAUGUUCCCUCAUAUCCCUCAGGAGAAUACCAAGCCCUGCA